rnacentral:rRNA from 1 species
GAUGAACGCUGGCGGCGUGCCUAAUACAUGCAAGUCGAGCGAACAGACGAGGAGCUUGCUCCUCUGACGUUAGCGGCGGACGGGUGAGUAACACGUGGAUAACCUACCUAUAAGACUGGUAUAACUUCGGGAAACCGGAGCUAAUACCGGAUAAUAUAUUGAACCGCAUGGUUCAAUAGUGAAAGACGGUUUUGCUGUCACUUAUAGCUGGAUCCGCGCCGCAUUAGCUAGUUGGUAAGGUAACGGCUUACCAAGGCGACGAUGCGUAGCCGACCUGAGAGGGGGAUCGGCCACACGGGAACUGAGACACGGUCCAGACUCCUACGGGAGGCAGCAGUAGGGAAUGUUCCGCAAUGGGCGAAAGCCUGACGGAGCAACGCCGCGUGAGUGAUGAAGGUCUUCGGAUCGUAAAACUCUGUUAUUAGGGAAGAACAAAUGUGUAAGUAACUAUGCACGUCUUGACGGUACCUAAUCAGAAAGCCACGGCUAACUACGUG